rnacentral:lncRNA from 1 species
UCUUGUAUACAUGAACUGAGUUAAAUCCAUGAAUACGAUGUUCGAGUUUUUGCUGCAUGAAAACUUCAUAACGUGUAAUAAGUCCAAUUUCCACGUAGCAUCUCAUUCUGGUGGUGAACUUACGGUGUCAAACAUUCCAUCUAAAAUGACGGAUGAUGCGGUCGGACACAAGAGGGUGCAAGGAAGUGAUCAAAGACCUUAUUGAUCUAUAAAUGAGUUUCACCAUGUGCAUUCAAUAGGAUCACCAUAUCAAAAGUUGAAAAGACAAAUUGAUACAUCAAAACAACAUAAGAAAAAAUGAUAUGGAAAUGGGAAGAGGAACCUGAAAAAGGAGGGAUCCCCAUUUCAACACCCAUAUGAACAAGUGCAUUUCUCAGCUCAUUCUUGCAAAUCUUCCCUUUAUCUUCUAUAUCCAUAUCAGUAAACAAAUUCUCUGCUAACAUAGCAUAAUCAUCUUCAUCCUCCAAAAACAUCUUCAAAGUAUUCCCAUCCAGUAUUGACACCACUAAUGGAUCAUCUAAGCAAAUCAACCAAAAAAAAAAAACAAAGCAAUAAUUUAAAUCAAAAUAACCCAGAUCACAAAAUCAAUAAAAAGUUUAAGGUUCUCUUUUUUUUUUUAAAUCUUAACUAUUAAGUAAUCAAAAUUGACUUAAUCCUCCUUUACCUUUCAACUCAUCAGCAAUGGCAGAGAUGUAAUCAGAGAGAAACUUGGAUGCUUUAUCUUUGUC